UACGAAGGGGGCUAGCGUUGCUCGGAAUCACUGGGCGUAAAGGGUGCGUAGGCGGGUCUUUAAGUCAGGGGUGAAAUCCUGGAGCUCAACUCCAGAACUGCCUUUGAUACUGAAGAUCUUGAGUUCGGGAGAGGUGAGUGGAACUGCGAGUGUAGAGGUGAAAUUCGUAGAUAUUCGCAAGAACACCAGUGGCGAAGGCGGCUCACUGGCCCGAUACUGACGCUGACGGUGCGAAAGCGAUGGG
rnacentral:rRNA from 1 species